rnacentral:lncRNA from 1 species
UUGCCAAAGCCCAGCCUCCUUUUACCAUAAACCGCUUUAACCUUCCCCUAAGUCUACUCUUCACACUUGCCUUUCCAACAAAGAACAUGACUUCAGUUUUCUGAGAAUCUGACUUGUCCACACGAGUCUUAAGUCUGGUUAUUAAAUCUCACAGCAGACGUUUGCAGAUCAAAGAUAUUCAUGGGAUUAUAUAUCACACACUUCAAGUGGUAUUCCUCGAUUUACAUUUGAAUAAAUUGGUGAUCUGUAUAUUGUCUAUCUUACUUGCAAAGAUUCUGUUUUUUUGCUUCCACUAUUUAUGCAUAUCUUCCACCAUGAACCUUAUUUAGAUCUCCUGACUCAAUUUUUUCUCGAAUGUCAAUCUUUAAUGCCGUGGCAUUUUCUGAAAUUCCUAAACAAGUUUGUUAUUCAAACUCAACGCUAAAUUCUGCAAUAUAUAGAUAACAAAGAAAAUAAAAGUGUAUUUUGUUUUAACUAAUUCUUAGAUAAGAUAGUCACACAUUUUUUUGAUUUUUUUGUUAAUGUUGGUUGUUUCAUGUACUUUUGUUGCUUCCUUUUAGGGAUAAUUUUUUAUUGUUUUUCUUGUGUUUUCUAUCGAAAGCAACCACAUUUACGAAUGACUUAGGGGUAAGCAUGCUUUCACUCUAUCAUCUCCAUACACCACUUCGUAGACUACACGAAAUAUGUUACUGUUGCUGAUUUGGUUUCUAUACAUGAUCUUAUAUUGAAAAUUGCUACUCGUAUUUUACUGUCAGUGUCUAAUAGUUAAAUUUUUCCUUAUCUACUCUUAUGUUAACGAUAUAUUUUUGGGUUUGUGACUACUGCAGCAACAACAUAUGUGCUACAUGUGUUUUCUGAAUGUGUAGUAUGAAGUAUAAAUUCUCUGCUUCCUUAGUUUUAACAACUCUGAAUUGUUUAGAUUUGACUUAGCCAUGAUACUGUUUCAACAAACCAAAUCCUCUUCUGCAUGUGGUCUCUGGUAAUGGGGAGGUUUAUUUUUCACCUCAUUUAGCUGCUCAUGCACAUCAUGUAAUUCUGCUCUAAGAUCAAUUAUCAGCCCUUCAGUUUCAUUAAGCUGAGCUUCUAUAAUUCAUCAAUUCUUCUUUGCUGAUUUUAAGACAAAGUGUCAGCUUCAGUUGUCGCAUUAAAGGUUAGAAAAACCACUGUCAUUAAAUGGUGAGAUAUGGGAAUCAACAUCCUGCUAGGAUAUACUAUUAUGUCAUUCAAGUAAAAUCACUUCUCAGUAAGUACCAGCAUACAAACUUUUGAAGACCAUAAAUAUUAGGUAAUAUUGAAAGUUUACUCUUAACUGUUAAACUUUGUUCCAAGGAAGGCUUGAAUUUCUAAUGUGAUGUUUGAAAGUACUAUGAUUCAAGACAUAGGCUGGUAGUGCAGGAAACUUCUGAGAAUUGGACUGAACAGAAAACUUCUGAGGAUUUCAUGAAUAACACUCUUCUUGUUUUGUAAUUGUAACUAAAAUAUGGAUAUUUGUCAAUAUAUUGCAGAUAUGCCAAGGUUCAAGUGCUCGC